UACGUAGGCAGCGAGCGUUGUUCGGAGUUACUGGGCGUAAAGGGUGUGUAGGCGGUUCUUUAAGUUUGGCGUGAAAUCUCCCGGCUCAACCGGGAGGGUGCGUCGAAUACUGGGGGACUAGAGUACGGGAGAGGAAAGUGGAAUUCCUGGUGUAGCGGUGAAAUGCGUAGAUAUCAGGAGGAACACCGGUGGUGUAGACGGCUUUCUGGACCGUAACUGACGCUGAGACACGAAAGCGUGGGUAGCAAACAGG
rnacentral:rRNA from 1 species